UAAUUUAUAAUGUUUAAUGCAUGAAUAAUUUUGAAUUAUUAAGUAAAAAUUUUUAAAAUUUU
rnacentral:tRNA from 1 species